rnacentral:rRNA from 1 species
AGUGAACGCUGGCGGCAGGCCUAACACAUGCAAGUCGAACGAACCUUUCGGGGUUAGUGGCGGACGGGUGAGUAACACGCGGGAACGUGCCCUUAGGUCAGGCAUAACUCAGGGAAACUUGUGCCAAUACCGAACGUGCCCUUCAGGGGCAAGAUUUAUCGCCUUUAGAGCGGCCCGCGUCAGAUUAGCUAGUUGGUUGAGGUAAUGGCUCACCAAGGCGACGAUCAGUAGCUGGUCUGAGAGGAUGAUCAGCCACAUUGGGACUGAGACACGGCCCAAACUCCUACGGGAGGCAGCAGUGGGGAAUCUUGCGCAAUGCGCGAAAGCCUGACGCAGCCAUGCCGCGUGAAUGAUGAAGGUCUUAGGAUUGUAAAAUUCUUUCACCGGGGACGAUAAUGACGGUACCCGGAGAAGAAGCCCCGGCUAACUUCGUG